AAGCAUUUCUGUCAUGGUGGAUGGUGGAAGACAGUCCCUAUGCACCAGAUCCUCUCCCGAGUAGCACGAUGCAUAAUUGCUUCUGUGGUGCCAUUUACUAGCAGGGUCCAAGCCGUAGGAAACUUCCCGUACCGGCGGUACUUGGGACAGAUUUGUGGAAUAAGGGUAGCUGAUUUGCCGGGACGAGGCCUGUGGAAGGAACGAGGAGACGGCAGAAAACUCGGGGACGUAGUAGGUGCAGCUGGGGAGGUAGAUGUUGGACGCGCAGCCUGUCCUGUCCCCAAACUCGGAUGUCCGGUCUUUGCGCGUCUGGGAGCAGAAGUUGCCCAGAUUCACCGAGUUAAACAUCUUUCUCUCUCUCGUACUCCGCACUAUAGAUAGAUGUUUUGGAUACGAGCUGCAGCAGAAGGGAAAAAUUUGGGAAGGCGAGAUGACGCGCAAUCCGUCUAAGUCGCCCCGCAGACACGUGAUCGAAAGUAGAUAUUGUCAUAUAUCAAUUUGGAAGAGUUGGAUGUGUAGGAGUGGUUGGCUUUAGUGGAUAAACGACUCUGCUGCACGAAGCACUGUUUCACAAAGAGUGGAGGACAAACUGCGCAAUUCAAGUUCCUGGAGUUCCUGCAGGAGGACUACCACUGAAGCCCGUGAUCCUCCAUCUCCCCCCGAGAGAAAAUGUGCCCUGGAAACAUAAACACAAGCUCAGAGAAAAAACGUAGUCACUCUACAAAAAGCUGGAAUCAGUAUUAUUCAACGUUGGAGAGAUUAUUGACAGCGCCCAUAACAACACCACAAUGAAUGAGCUUCUUAUUCUGACAAAACAGAGGUGAUAUAAUGUCUCACUGGACUCACUUUAGAUGAUCAAAUUAAAUGUUUUAGGUUUCAGCUUUUGACUAUGAGCCUCACAGCAGAGCAACAAUUAGUGUUCUUGUAAACGGCUGCUUAUAGGCUACUCAGAGUGGGCUUAUUGACCAGGCUGCAUCAGUGUAUCCAACGUUUCCCUCUAAAAUUAAAUAAGUCCCUGCUGAUAUUUCAAGCCGCUGUGAUCAUUUUAUUUUCAGCGGAAUGUCGACAUUUUACUGUGUGUGACUGUUAAAAGUAGAGACUUAUCCUCCGGAGUUUUUUGUUCUCAA